ACAAACUUGAGGGUGAAAAUAAUGGAAAUAAAUCUCCAUUUCAAAAUUUAAAUCUUGAUCGUGGUCAUCGCCGAGCACUCUAAAUACUCUUACUAAAUAGAGCUCAGCAAAAAAUAUACCCAAAGGGAAAUUCCUUAACAUACGAGUUAAUGAAGUCGUACAUCGUGGACUAGCUCCUUGAUCCUGUUCUUUUGAAGAUUUUAGGAAAUUUUACGCCUGUGAUGGACACAAUAAGGAAAUUUACUCCUUCGAGAGUGAUCAAAGUAUGAAUGAGAACAAAAAUACACGUUAUAUUGUAAGGCAUACAAGCGCAGAAAUAAUGUUUUUCAAACAUAAAAAAAGCUGGCUUGUAAAAAAUGUAAUGUUAAACAAAAGUUGCAAUGUUUGCGGGAGGAUUUUUUUAUCGUGAUGCAUUUGGAAAAUCGUUCUGUGUGUUAACAUCGAAAUAUAGAUCCGGGUAAUCCCGUGUAUCAUUUUAACUAGAGUGAAG